rnacentral:rRNA from 1 species
GGGUUGUGAGGUUAAGCGACUAAGCGUACACGGUGGAUGCCCUGGCAGUCAGAGGCGAUGAAGGACGUGCUAAUCUGCGAUAAGCGUCGGUAAGGUGAUAUGAACCGUUAUAACCGGCGAUUUCCGAAUGGGGAAACCCAGUGUGUUUCGACACACUAUCAUUAACUGAAUCCAUAGGUUAAUGAGGCGAACCGGGGGAACUGAAACAUCUAAGUACCCCGAGGAAAAGAAAUCAACCGAGAUUCCCCCAGUAGCGGCGAGCGAACGGGGAGCAGCCCAGAGCCUGAAUCAGUGUGUGUGUUAGUGGAAGCGUCUGGAAAGGCGCGCGAUACAGGGUGACAGCCCCGUACACAAAAAUGCACAUAUUGUGAGCUCGAUGAGUAGGGCGGGACACGUGGUAUCCUGUCUGAAUAUGGGGGGACCAUCCUCCAAGGCUAAAUACUCCUGACUGACCGAUAGUGAACCAGUACCGUGAGGGAAAGGCGAAAAGAACCCCGGCGAGGGGAGUGAAAAAGAACCUGAAACCGUGUACGUACAAGCAGUGGGAGCCUCUUUUAUGGGGUGACUGCGUACCUUUUGUAUAAUGGGUCAGCGACUUAUAUUCUGUAGCAAGGUUAACCGAAUAGGGGAGCCGAAGGGAAACCGAGUCUUAACUGGGCGUUAAGUUGCAGGGUAUAGACCCGAAACCCGGUGAUCUAGCCAUGGGCAGGUUGAAGGUUGGGUAACACUAACUGGAGGACCGAACCGACUAAUGUUGAAAAAUUAGCGGAUGACUUGUGGCUGGGGGUGAAAGGCCAAUCAAACCGGGAGAUAGCUGGUUCUCCCCGAAAGCUAUUUAGGUAGCGCCUCGUGAAUUCAUCUCCGGGGGUAGAGCACUGUUUCGGCAAGGGGGUCAUCCCGACUUACCAACCCGAUGCAAACUGCGAAUACCGGAGAAUGUUAUCACGGGAGACACACGGCGGGUGCUAACGUCCGUCGUGAAGAGGGAAACAACCCAGACCGCCAGCUAAGGUCCCAAAGUCAUGGUUAAGUGGGAAACGAUGUGGGAAGGCCCAGACAGCCAGGAUGUUGGCUUAGAAGCAGCCAUCAUUUAAAGAAAGCGUAAUAGCUCACUGGUCGAGUCGGCCUGCGCGGAAGAUGUAACGGGGCUAAACCAUGCACCGAAGCUGCGGCAGCGACACUAUGUGUUGUUGGGUAGGGGAGCGUUCUGUAAGCCUGUGAAGGUGUGCUGUGAGGCAUGCUGGAGGUAUCAGAAGUGCGAAUGCUGACAUAAGUAACGAUAAAGCGGGUGAAAAGCCCGCUCGCCGGAAGACCAAGGGUUCCUGUCCAACGUUAAUCGGGGCAGGGUGAGUCGACCCCUAAGGCGAGGCCGAAAGGCGUAGUCGAUGGGAAACAGGUUAAUAUUCCUGUACUUGGUGUUACUGCGAAGGGGGGACGGAGAAGGCUAUGUUGGCCGGGCGACGGUUGUCCCGGUUUAAGCGUGUAGGCUGGUUUUCCAGGCAAAUCCGGAAAAUCAAGGCUGAGGCGUGAUGACGAGGCACUACGGUGCUGAAGCAACAAAUGCCCUGCUUCCAGGAAAAGCCUCUAAGCAUCAGGUAACAUCAAAUCGUACCCCAAACCGACACAGGUGGUCAGGUAGAGAAUACCAAGGCGCUUGAGAGAACUCGGGUGAAGGAACUAGGCAAAAUGGUGCCGUAACUUCGGGAGAAGGCACGCUGAUAUGUAGGUGAAGCGACUUGCUCGUGGAGCUGAAAUCAGUCGAAGAUACCAGCUGGCUGCAACUGUUUAUUAAAAACACAGCACUGUGCAAACACGAAAGUGGACGUAUACGGUGUGACGCCUGCCCGGUGCCGGAAGGUUAAUUGAUGGGGUUAGCGCAAGCGAAGCUCUUGAUCGAAGCCCCGGUAAACGGCGGCCGUAACUAUAACGGUCCUAAGGUAGCGAAAUUCCUUGUCGGGUAAGUUCCGACCUGCACGAAUGGCGUAAUGAUGGCCAGGCUGUCUCCACCCGAGACUCAGUGAAAUUGAACUCGCUGUGAAGAUGCAGUGUACCCGCGGCAAGACGGAAAGACCCCGUGAACCUUUACUAUAGCUUGACACUGAACAUUGAGCCUUGAUGUGUAGGAUAGGUGGGAGGCUUUGAAGUGUGGACGCCAGUCUGCAUGGAGCCGACCUUGAAAUACCACCCUUUAAUGUUUGAUGUUCUAACGUUGACCCGUGAUCCGGGUUGCGGACAGUGUCUGGUGGGUAGUUUGACUGGGGCGGUCUCCUCCUAAAGAGUAACGGAGGAGCACGAAGGUUGGCUAAUCCUGGUCGGACAUCAGGAGGUUAGUGCAAUGGCAUAAGCCAGCUUGACUGCGAGCGUGACGGCGCGAGCAGGUGCGAAAGCAGGUCAUAGUGAUCCGGUGGUUCUGAAUGGAAGGGCCAUCGCUCAACGGAUAAAAGGUACUCCGGGGAUAACAGGCUGAUACCGCCCAAGAGUUCAUAUCGACGGCGGUGUUUGGCACCUCGAUGUCGGCUCAUCACAUCCUGGGGCUGAAGUAGGUCCCAAGGGUAUGGCUGUUCGCCAUUUAAAGUGGUACGCGAGCUGGGUUUAGAACGUCGUGAGACAGUUCGGUCCCUAUCUGCCGUGGGCGCUGGAGAACUGAGGGGGGCUGCUCCUAGUACGAGAGGACCGGAGUGGACGCAUCACUGGUGUUCGGGUUGUCAUGCCAAUGGCACUGCCCGGUAGCUAAAUGCGGAAGAGAUAAGUGCUGAAAGCAUCUAAGCACGAAACUUGCCCCGAGAUGAGUUCUCCCUGACCCUUUAAGGGUCCUGAAGGAACGUUGAAGACGACGACGUUGAUAGGCCGGGUGUGUAAGCGCAGCGAUGCGUUGAGCUAACCGGUACUAAUGAACCGUGAGGCUUAACCUUACAACGCCGAAGCUGUU